rnacentral:ncRNA from 1 species
UUUUUGGCUUUGGAAAUAGUUUGGCUAUAUUUAUAUUUUACAUGAGAGUUUCAGUUUUCUAAUGUUUUUGUUUUUUCUUAAUGAAAUAGUGUUGUAGCUUCAGUAAAAAAUAUUGUUUUUCAAAUAACUUUGGAUUUAGUAAUAAAUUUUAGGAAAGGCUAAUUACGUGCCAGCUGCUGCGGUUAUACGUUUUUUUCUAGUUAAACUUUUUGGACAAAAUUAAGUUGUUGAAUCUGAGUUGGAUAAAAAUUGUUGUUUUCUGGUAAAAUGGAAAUUUUGUUUUUUUGUUUUCUGGGUUUUGGAGUAUUGCUUAAAAGUUCUAUAUGAAAACUGGGAUUAGAUACCCCAUUAUUUUGGAAUUUGAAAUAUUGAGUCCUAGGUAUUAUUAUUUUUAGAAACCUAAAAAGCUUGGCGGUUCUUUAUAUCCUUUUAGGGGAGCUUGCCCUGUUAUCGAUAAUCCUCGUUUUAUCUAACUUUUCUUAUUUGUUUGUAUACUUCUGUUGUCAGCUUACUUUUYAGAAAAUAGUAGUUGGCUUGUUUAGUUUUUGCUUUUACAUCAAGUCAAAGUGCAGCUAAUGGAGAAGGUGAGGUGAGCUACAUUUUUUAUUUUUUUGGAUAAAUAAUGAAAUUUUAUUUUUGAAAUUGGACUUAAUAGUAAAGAUUUUUAGAGAACUUUCUUGAAUAAGGUUUGAAGUGUGCACAAAUCGCCCGUCGCUCUUUCUGAGAAGAAAGAUAAGUCGUAACAUAGUAGUGGUAACGGAAGUUGUUGCUAGUUU